rnacentral:sRNA from 1 species
AUGUCAUUCGUGAAUUGUGAAACGACACUGGUUGGUACAACGCCCGGUAUUGAGGAGGCAGCCAAUGGCAUAACGUCUAAUGAAGGAUACGAAGAACCAGAUGCUGACUCUGAUCAUUCAGUAAAUAUGGACGAGGUCCAAGUUAAACAGAGAAAGACAAGCCCUGAACGUAAACUCACUGACAGGAUGACCGCUUCUGGCGCUCCUCCUCAAGGCAUUGUUCGCAAGGUUGAUGCCUGUGUCGCUAUUUCUAAAGACUUGAUCAGUGCACUAAACAAGAAGAUCUCUGGGUUAGGAGAAAGUGCAUUCAUUCUAAAAAACAACAUGUAUACAAGAUUCGUAUUUAGUGACUUGACCUUAUCUUGUGUCUCAGAGAGCGACUCCCUACUGUCCACCAAAUAUAUUGACGCUGUUGCAGAUCCAACAUCUAAGAAGAAAAGAUACGUUGCAGGUGAAGCAUUGCAGGCCAUUGACGAAUUCUUCUACAGCGGAAGCGGCUCUGUAUAUGAAAACGCCAGAAAAGUCCUCCAAAACCGGUAUGGUCACCCAUUUGUUAUACAGAAAGCGUUUCGAAAGAGACUAGAAAACUGA